UCAUUUUUAUUCCUUUGUUUUUUUCCUUGUGUAUAUAUAGAUCUAUUUUUUGUUCCUUUUUUUCUACAUACAAGUCCAUUUUUAAAGUAUGUCGUCAUGCUGGGUGCAGCUUCGGUGAAGUAGCUCAUGCAGGUGACCCAUGUGGAUAUUACGAAGGACAGGCAAAAGACGGGGUGGACCAAGUCCGAGAUCGAGCUUGACCACCGCCGAACUCCACUGUACAGUCACCAAAUCACAAGACGUUUAGAAACGGGCCGGUCAGGACCAGGGGGGACGAAAGUCAGGACUUUUCGUGAAGACACGGCUCAGAUUCCCAAAAGAACAACAACAAAAAAAGGGAAGAAAAACGUGACAUCAUCCACUGGCGCCAUCUUGCGCCAUCAAAAUCCCCCCCAAAACAGACAGCAGGAGAGGUGAAAAUGAAAAUAAAAUGAUGCAAAAGAAAGAAACUAUAUUUUUUUCAUAAGUCUCCCGUCCUUGAAAAAUGUCACCAGCAGAAAGAUCUACUUUUUGCUGAGCCACAUUUACGUAGAACCGACUGUGCUCAUUAAUUUCAGGCCGUAAUCGUUUCCAUUAGAGCAAAAAGGAGCCAAAGUCUACAGUCAUUAAUCAUUACAGUACUGCAGAUCCCUGAACGCUCACAUGGGUCCGUCAGAAAAUACAUUACAGGACAAGGACACGGCCGCCCUGGCAUUUCGAGACCUUAAAAACGAAAAUGCAUGUUGCUUUUUGAGUGGAAAAACAAAAUGAAAAUUAGUAGCACAUACGGAAGGGGUCUAACUGUAUCAGAGAGGGUCACGAUAUAUUUACAGCAGUACAUCCAUCUGUGAACCAGAAUACUGAGAAAGACAAUCCUGUCCUAAAUCCAGUCCUGACUGAUCCAACUCAAAUGCACAUCUUGGAAAAAGAAUACAAAUAAAAAUACAUUAGCAAAUAUAAAAACAACACAACUCAAACCGAGGCAGGACCGUAAAAUGCUGAACAAUCUUUGCACCAAUAACCGUUUUGUUUUUUAAAAAAUACUCUCAAUUUGUUUAAACGCUUCCAAAGGAAAAUAAAUUGACAUCUUUGGUGAAGAUUCCACAGCAAUCUCUCAGUCUUGUUGCCGAAACUUCUCUGCAGAAUGCCGACUGGGCUCAGCAGCAGGUACACAGAACAAACACACUCAAACCAACGGACAAACUCGCAUACUGCUGGUUUCUUUAAAAGAUUUAAAAUCAACAAAAUAUCCUGCUGGAGAAACCUGAUGCCAUCGAAGGGGGGUUGGGGAAUGGAAUGAUAGCAUUGGCAGAGUGUGAUGAGACAAAACAAAGCAGCAUUUAGUACUAAUACCACAAUAUACUUGUCAGACACCAAGUAGGGAUUCUGUAUAUUUUAAACUGAAACACUUGCCAAUUUGGUAUUGGACGUUUCAUGGCUAAAUUUGGCGCAUCAGGACUACCAAACCAUUCUGGAGGACCAUGUGUACCCAAUGGUU
ensembl:processed_transcript